rnacentral:rRNA from 1 species
GACGAACGCUGGCGGCGUGCUUAACACAUGCAAGUCGAACGGAAAGGCCCAGCUUGCUGGGUACUCGAGUGGCGAACGGGUGAGUAACACGUGGGUGAUCUGCCCUGCACUCUGGGAUAAGCCUGGGAAACUGGGUCUAAUACCGGAUAUGAUCAACUGUCGCAUGGUGGUUGGUGGAAAGCUUUUGCGGUGUGGGAUGGGCCCGCGGCCUAUCAGCUUGUUGGUGGGGUAAUGGCCUACCAAGGUGACGACGGGUAGCCGACCUGAGAGGGGGAUGGGCCCACCUGGGAUUGGGAGACGGCCCAGACUCCGCCGGGAGGCAGCAGUGGGGAAGAUUGCACAAUGGGCGCAAGCCUGAUGCAGCGACGCCGCGUGAGGGAUGACGGCCUUCGGGUUGUAAACCUCUUUCACCAGGGACGAAGCGUGAGUGACGGUACCUGGAGAAGAAGCACCGGCCAACUACGUGCCAGCCGCCGCCGUAA